rnacentral:lncRNA from 1 species
UACUUGAUAUAGUUCUGGGAUAUGUUGUAGAUUAUCUCCAUUUUGCGUGUAUACCGCAUGUAGUAGUCCAUAAUUAUACAUGGUCUGUAUGAGAUUUGGGUCUGUUUUGUUUAAUGCUACUAAUUUGUUAUAUCUCUUCAACGGUUUGGUUUGCCGUCCAAUAAGUUUUUCUGGGUUAUAGUCUGGUGAUUGUAUGUUCUUGUUU